AUUCAAUCCUAUUCUUUCCACAGAGAGAGAAGCUAUCAUUUUCUGUAAUCUCUAGAUGGAUGUGAAAGAGGAGAUGUGUGAAGCUGACAUGAACAUCAUAAAGAUAGAGAUCACAAAUAUUAAGGAGGACCAGUGUGAAUGGGAGCCUGCCCACCCUAACCAAUGUAAUCUCCACAUUAUGGAAGAGGACUGUAAACUGGAUUCGGUGGACAUUAAAGAAGAGGUUGAAGAGAAGUUUAUCAGCAUUGAGACACACAAACAUAAAAGUGUGGAGAGUGUCCAGGAAAUCGACCUUCAUUACCGGUGUCAAGAUGGAGCAGCGAUGGGGUUGGUAUCUCCUCAGAGCACACACUGCUCAUCUUCGGGGCUUUCUAUCCAUGUGAAGUCUGAAUCAUUACAGUCUGACACAAGGAGGAGCGAGGAAAUAUCAUCAUCUGUUAGAACUCUCGAAGAUCAGCCACCAUCUACAAGUACGCCUGGAGAGAGAGACAAACUUCACUGCUGUCCUGAAUGUGGCAAGCAAUUUUCUGACAGGAGUAAUCUGCGGAAACAUUUAAGAAUUCACACAGGAGAGAAGCCAUAUUGUUGUUCAGAAUGUGGGAGACAAUUCACACGGAUCAACAGUCUUCGUAGACACAGAAAAAUCCACACGGGAGAGAAGCCGUAUUGUUGUAAUGAAUGUGGCAAACAAUUUGUUGACAAGAGUACACUUCAGAAACACACUAGAACCCACACUGGAGAGAAGCCAUAUUGCUGUUUGGAAUGUGGCAAACAAUUUGCUGACAAGAGUAGUCUUCAGAAACACACUGCAAUCCACACUUCAGAGAAGCCAUAUUGCUGUUUGGAAUGUGGCAAACGAUUCUCACGAACCAACGGUCUUAAGUGCCACAUAAGAACUCACACUGGAGAGAAACCAUUUUGCUGCUCAGUAUGUGACAAACAAUUCUUUGACAGGAGGUAUCUUCAGAGCCACAUCAAAGUUCACACAGGAGAGAAGCCAUAUUGCUGUUCUGAAUGUGGGAAACAAUUUGCAACGGUCAGCAAUCUACACAAACAUAGAAAAAUUCACACUGGCGAGAAACCACAUUGCUGUUCUGAAUGUGGGAGACGGUUUUCACGACGAAGUACUCUAUUGAGCCACAAAGAAAUCCAUACAGGAAAGAAGCAAUUUUCAUGUUCUCAAUGUGGAAAACAGUUCCUGCGAAUUGCCAGUCUACAUAGACAUACAAAAAUUCAUACGGGAGUGAAGCCAUUUUCCUGUUCUGAAUGUGGGAGACAGUUUUCACAAAGAGGCAGUCUAGUGAGCCACGAAAAAAUUCACACAGGGGAAAGUCUGCAUUGCUGUUCUCAGUGUGGCAAACAGUUUUUGCAUAUGUGUAGUCUUAAGAGACACACCAGAGUUCACCUUUAGAGAAAUAGCUUCACAUGGUAAAGAAAUUCUCACAAGACAUCCAAAUGACCUUUGGGCUGGAUAUGUGCACCGAGGCAACGGUCAUUAACUGAAAAAUCAGAAAUAAUUAAAUCAAUCGGGAUGAGGAAGGUAUCAUCAGAAAUCUAAAACUCGGGAGAAACAAAUAUUUGUGAGUAAAUGAAGGUGCAGAAAUAUAACCGUAAGGGUUUAAAGCAGAAAAAUCAACAAAGAGUACAUCCGUCAAACAAUGAUGAUUCUCGGAACUUGUAGCAUACAAUAAAAUCCUGGUGAUGAACCAGCUUGCCAUUCCCAUCUUAUCUUAAUGGUUUUGGCAUCCCUGACUGGACAACAUAAACUGGACAUGAAAACGUGAGAACUUCUCCAUGCAUACCAGUCAAUAUACAAGAAUCAAAACAUCCCUAGAAUGUACAUUUCUAGAUCUGAAGGAGACACACGGGGCUUAUCGAAAUGGAUGACUUAUGCAGGGCUACAAUCGUUGGACUUCAGACAUUCCUUCACUACUCAACAUACCGGCACAUUCAGAAGGUACUUUAAUAUAAAGCAAACCAACCCAAAUCAACAUCAAUUUUAAGGCUCGACCAAACAUUCAGAAGAAAUAAAGGCUUGACAGAGACUCCCCCAAUUUGACUGGAUAUCGAAAACAAGAAUAGAAAAGGACCGAGCAGCAGAAGAGGAAGAGUACUUGGAAAGACCACAAAUAUAACAGAAAAUAUCAGAUGUCCUUCUCCAGCCCCAUGUCGGACAAAAAUAGGACCUGAAAUUCAGUGUGGAAUUGCUUGGAUUUCACACAGUUAGUAAUUCCCGCUAAAUCUUAUUUUUAUUGCGCCUUUUUUCCCCUACGUGUUUAUUUUGUAAGCACUCUUUCUUGCAUCUCGCAAGAAUAGGAAGCAUUUUUUUGUAAUAAUGUGAAGUUUGUUAUUUAGGAAUUUAUUUUUUCAAUGUUUACAUUGUGUUAAGGUCAUUCAGUCCCCUCCACAAAUAUUGGAAAAGCACAGCCAGUAAUGCAUUUGUCUUUGCUGUGCAGUGAAGGCAUUGGUGUGUGACAUCAAAUGACGAAGAUGAGAAGAGAGAUGAGUGUCAGCUUUCAUUCCCAGGUAUUUCCAUCUUGAUAUGUUAAACCACAUAGAGCUGAGCACCUUUUGUAUCAAACCAUCCAGUUUUUCAAGUGAGCACAAGUAUUGGAACAGAAUGUUUUCAACUAAAUGAAAGUCAAAAGUUCUUCAUAUCUGGUCGCAUAUCUCUUGCUUGUAAUAACUGCAUUAAGCCUACGACUCCACAGACUGCACUGGGUCUCUUGUUUCUUCACUGGUGAUGCCUUUCCAGGGUUUAACCACAGCGUCUUUUAGUUGUUGUCCAUUUUGAUGGGUUUCUUCCUUCAGCCUUCUCUUCAGGAGGUGAAAUGGCAUGUUCAGUUGUGUUAAGAUCUGCUGAUUGACUUGGCCAGCUCAAAACCUUCCAUGUUUUCCCCUUGAUUAAGUCCUUUGUUGAGGUGACACUGUGUCUUGCUGCAUAACAAAGUUCCUCCUGAUUAGUUUGGAUGCAAUUCUCUGUAAAUCGACAGAUGAUGCGUUUCUGUAGGCUACCAAGUUCAUUCUGCUAUGGCCAUCAGGAGUUACAUCAGGGGUCCCCAACUCCGGUCCUGGAGGACCACCGUGGCUGCAGAUUUUCAUUCUAACCACUUUUCUUAACUAGUGGCCUGUUUUGCCACUAGUUGGUUUCUUUUGAAAUCAUUUUAAUUGACUUGUUUUUUAAGAUUUG